rnacentral:rRNA from 1 species
AGAAUCAACGCUGGCGGCGUGCCUAACACAUGCAAGUCGAACGAGAAAGUGGAGCAAUCCAUUAGUAAAGUGGCGCACGGGUGAGUAACACGUGACUAACCUACCUUUUAGUGGGGGAUAACCUAGGGAAACCUGGGCUAAUACCGCAUAAUACCUACGGGUCAAAGCAGCAAUGCGCUGAAAGAGGGGGUCGCGGUCGAUUAGUUAGUUGGCAGGGUAAUGGCCUACCAAGACUGUGAUCGAUAUCCGGCCUGAGAGGGCGCACGGACACACUGGAACUGAAACACGGUCCAGACUCCUACGGGAGGCAGCAGUGGGGAAUUUUGCGCAAUGGUGGAAACCCUGACGCAGCAACGCCGCGUGGAGGAUGAAGUCCCUUGGGACGUAAACUCCUUUCGAUCGGGACGAUAAUGACGGUACCGGAAGAGAAGCCCCGGCUAACUUCGUGCCAGCCAGCCGC